rnacentral:rRNA from 1 species
UAGAGUUUGAAACCUGGCUCAGAUUGAACGCUGGCGGCAGGCCUAACACAUGCAAGUCGAGCGGAUGAGAAGAGCUUGCUCUUCGAUUCAGCGGCGGACGGGUGAGUAAUGCCUAGGAAUCUGCCUGGUAGUGGGGGACAACGUUUCGAAAGGAACGCUAAUACCGCAUACGUCCUACGGGAGAAAGCAGGGGACCUUCGGGCCUUGCGCUAUCAGAUGAGCCUAGGUCGGAUUAGCUAGUUGGUGAGGUAAUGGCUCACCAAGGCGACGAUCCGUAACUGGUCUGAGAGGAUGAUCAGUCACACUGGAACUGAGACACGGUCCAGACUCCUACGGGAGGCAGCAGUGGGGAAUAUUGGACAAUGGGCGAAAGCCUGAUCCAGCCAUGCCGCGUGUGUGAAGAAGGUCUUCGGAUUGUAAAGCACUUUAAGGUGGGAGGAAGGGCAGUAAGCUAAUACCUUGCAAUUUUGACGUUACCGCCAGAAUAAGCACCGGCUAACUCUGUGCCAGCAGCCGCGGUAAUACAGAGGGUGCAAGCGUUAAUCGGAAUUACUGGGCGUAAAGCGCGCGUAGGUGGUUUGUUAAGUCGGAUGUGAAAUCCCCGGGCUCAACCUGGGAACUGCAUCCGAAACUGGCAAGCUAGAGUAUGUAGACGGACGCC